rnacentral:rRNA from 1 species
AUGGUUAAAAGUGAUAUGCACACAACUUUUCCCUUAGUUUACCGUCUGGUUGAGUUAGCAUUGAUUUUACCUGUUGCAACCGCAACCGUGGAUAGGGCAUUCUCAGCAAUGAGCAUUAUCAAGACCGGAUUGAGGAACAAAAUGGGUGAUGAUUGGAUGAAUCAUAGAAUUGUAUGUUACAUUGAGAGAGAUGUAUUAGUUACUAUAGAAGAAUCCAAAAUCAUUGAGCGAUUUCAAGGUUAUCGCACACGUAAAGGUGUUUUGCCUCGUCCUACACGUAAGUUUUCACAUUUUGCAUCUAUCGUUAAUUAG